rnacentral:rRNA from 1 species
UACGGGGGGGGCAAGCGUUGUUCGGAAUUACUGGGCGUAAAGGGCUCGUAGGCGGCCAACUAAGUCAGACGUGAAAUCCCCAGGCUCAACCUGGGAACUGCGUCUGAUACUGGAUGGCUUGAAUUCGGGAGAGGGAGGCAGAAUUCCAGGUGUAGCGGUGAAAUGCGUAGAUAUCUGGAGGAAUACCGGUGGCGAAGGCGGCAUCCUGGACCGACAUUGACGCUGAGGAGCGAAAGCUAGGGGAGCAAACGGG